AACGAACGCUGGCGGCAGGCCUAACACAUGCAAGUCGAACGCUCUCUUCGGAGGGAGUGGCAGACGGGUGAGUAACACGUGGGAACCUACCCCUUGGUACGGAAUAACUGAUGGAAACGUUAGCUAAUACCGUAUGAGCGCUGAGGCGGAAAGAUUUAUCGCCAAGGGAUGGGCCCGCGUAGGAUUAGCUAGUUGGUGGGGUAAAGGCCUACCAAGGCGACGAUCCUUAGCUGGUCUGAGAGGAUGAUCAGCCACACUGGGACUGAGACACGGCCCAGACUCCUACGGGAGGCAGCAGUGGGGAAUAUUGGACAAUGGGCGCAAGCCUGAUCCAGCCAUGCCGCGUGAGUGAUGAAGGCCUUAGGGUUGUAAAGCUCUUUCACCUGGGAAGAUAAUGACGGUACCAGGAGAAGAAGCCCCGGCUAACUUCGUGCCAGCCGCCGCUGUAAAAC
rnacentral:rRNA from 1 species